GCAGGAGGAUUGCUUGAGCCUAGGAGUUUGAGACCAGCCUGGGGAACACGGCAAGACUGCAUCUCUACAAAAAUACCAAAAUUAAUCAGCCAUGGUGGCACACGCCUGGGUUCGCACCAGCUACUGGGAAGGCUGAGGCAAGAGGAUUGCUUGAGCCCGGGAGGUCAAGGCUGCAGUGAGCCAUGUUCACACCACUGUAUCCUAACCUGGGUGACAGACUUUAGGAGACAGGAUGUCUGAGGUCAGAAGAUCCCCCUGAUGACCAAACCAGUUAAGACUGAUGAGAUUCAAGAUCCAGCUCACUUGGCCUUUGAAGAACCUCUAACUUCAUUAUAAUUUAUUUUCCAUACUAAAUGACACUCCCACCAGUGCCAUGACAGUUUAUAAUCACCAUGACAAUGACCAGAAGAAAUUAUGAAAGGACGAAAAGGAAGACCACAACUCCGGUUCUGA
rnacentral:lncRNA from 1 species